rnacentral:rRNA from 1 species
AAUGAACGCUGGCGGCAGGCCUAACACAUGCAAGUCGAGCGAGCGGCGGACGGGUGAGUAAUGUCAGGGAAACUGCCUGAUGGCGGGGGAUAACUACUGGAAACGGUAGCUAAUACCGCAUACCAUCAGAUGUGCCCAGAGGGGAGUAGCUAGUCGGUGGGGUAAUGGCUCACUUAGGCGACGAUCCCUAGCUGGUCUGAGAGGAUGACCAGCCACACUGGAACUGAGACACGGGCCAGACGCCUACGGUAGGCAGCAGUGGGGAAUAUUGCACAAUGUGCGCAAUCCUGAUGCAGCCAUGCCGCGUGUGUGAAGAAGGCCUUCGGGGUGUAAGGCACUUUCAGCUGUGAGGGGUUACCCGCAGAAGAAGCACCGGCUAACUCCGUGCCAGCAGCCGCGGUAAUUC